AAAGCAAGUAUGUAGCUGGAGAUAGCGGCCCGGCAGGUUCUGCAGCUGUUCAAACUUUCGCCACCUUCCCAGGCCCAGAGGACUCCCUGAUCUCGGGCCUGUCAGAACUGUGCUGCGGAAUGUGAGGGACGCUGAUGAUGGAGGGUCCGUCUCCAGCCACACCUCCACCAUCCUGGAGACCAGACCCAGGGGCUGGUUCUCACACCUUCUGCUCACCGGACACCUGAAUCCUUGUGCUCGUGUUUCAUCGGCUAAGCAAGUCACGUGGCCACAGCUGACGUCAAGAGGGAUAAGGUCACUUCGACCUUUUGCCCAGAGAGCAGAGAGCUGGAACUCAUUAGUCUCCAACCUCCCAGACGAGAAGACCUCAUUUCUGGUCCCCUCCUCUGCCACCGGCUGACUCUGACUCUCGAAGUUCCUCUCACGUCUCUGCCCCUAGUUCCCCACCUGUAGAAACGAGGCAUGUUUUCUAGAUUCCUCUCAAGCCUGGGAGUGGCACCACCGUUGUGGACCCCACUUUUCCCAACAGAGGACGAUGAUUUUAUUUCCACUGCGCAUCCAUGGCGCAGAGACAGGGUGUCACUCAGGCCGGGCAGCUCACUUCAGGCCCCAGCUGCCUAGACUGAGUGCCUGAGUCCUCCCCAAACUCGUAUGCUGGAGCCCUCCCCUUCAAGGUGAUGGCAUUAGGGGUGGGGCCUUGGGGAGGUCAUCAGGGGUACAUGAGGUCAUGAGGGUGGGGCCCCCACCGUGGGAUCAGUGCCCUCAUAGAUGAGGAGGAGACAGCAGCUCACUCUCUGUGUGCAUACACCAAGAACGGUCACGUGAGGACCUAACCAGGAACAGGCCGUCCCUGAGAAUUGAACCCCAUCAGUACCUGGAUCUUGGACUUCCAGCCUCCAGAACUGCAAGAAAUAAAUAUUGGUUGUUUAA